rnacentral:rRNA from 1 species
CACUUUAACUGGCACGCCGUGUCGAUAAGGGGAUCCCGNCUGCGCAGGCAUAGAGCCUGCGCUUUUCUGAACUGUAGGGAGGUUCANGAACAAGCAGCUGGGCAAGACCGGUGCCAGCCGCCGCGGUAAUACCGGCAGCUCGAGUGAUGGCCGAUCUUAUUGGGCCUAAAGCGUCCGUANCUGGCCUGGCAAGUCCGUCGGGAAAUCCACCCGCUCAACGGGUGGGCGUCCGACGGAAACUGCCGGGCUUGGGACCGGGAGGCUUGAAGGGUACGUCCGGGGUANGAGUGAAAUCCCGUAAUCCUGGACGGACCACCGAUGGGGAAACCACUUCAAGAGAACGGAUCCGACAGUGAGGGACGAAAGCUAGGGUCUCGAACCGGAUUANAUACCCGGGUAGUCCUAGCUGUAAACGAUGCCUGUUAGGUGUGACUCCCACUACGAGUGGGUGUUGUGCCGUAGGGAAGCCGCUAAACAGGCCGCCUGGGAAGUACGUCUGCAAGGAUGAAACUUAAAGGAAUUG